AACGAACGCUGGCGGCAGGCUUAACACAUGCAAGUCGAGCGCCCCGCAAGGGGAGCGGCAGACGGGUGAGUAACGCGUGGGAAUCUAACCAUCUCUACGGAAUAACGCAUGGAAACGUGUGCUAAUACCGUAUACGUCCUUCGGGCGAAAGAUUUAUCGGAGAUGGAUGAGCCCGCGGCGGAUUAGCUAGUUGGUGGGGUAAAGGCCUACCAAGGCGACGAUCAAUAGCUGGUCUGAGAGGAUGAUCAGCCACACUGGGACUGAGACACGGCCCAGACUCCUACGGGAGGCCGCAGUGGGGAAUAUUUGACAAUGGGCGGAAUCCUGAUCCAGCCAUGCCGCGUGAGUGAUGAAGGCCCUAGGGUUAGAAAGCUCUUUCACCGGUGAAGAUAAUGACGGUAACCGGAGAAGAAGCCCCGGCUAACUUCGUGCCAGCCGCCGCCGUAACAC
rnacentral:rRNA from 1 species